rnacentral:lncRNA from 1 species
GAGCAUGAGAUUAUGAUACUAUCUCCUCACAAUCUGUUUUUCGGUGAUGCAUUGAAAAAUGAAAAGAGCAGCUGAUCGAUUUUUACAAAUUAUUCACUUGAAAAUAUCAAAAUAUGCUAUUGCCAUUCGAGCUAAGUUCAUACAUGGCAAGCUCCAAUAUCACUGAAGGUAAAUCAAAGGUGUAAUGAACAAAUCGAAAUUAGCAUAACAUCUCAACAAGUAACUGAACAUUUAAACAUAUACGUUAUAAAAGUAAAACAACUAAUGCAUCUCAACGCAUCGCAUAAAAAGGUUCAAUCUUCAUAAUCCAAUCAAACACAAGACCACGAAUUAACCAGAUAAAACAGCAAAAAUUACAUUAAAAUGUAAUUACAUAUUCCACCGAUAUGUUGAAUCGUUUUGACCAGUUCCAAGUCCAAUAGGUAUAAUCAACUGGAAAUUGUACAAACCUAGGGUUUGUAGACCACGGAACUUCGAGCGAGAGGAGAAUAUAGAAAUCUUCAGAGAGGAAGCAAGGAGCAUAAAUGACGUCGUCAAUAGAAUCAUCAAGUCUUCCCCCCAACAGCUGUCUGCGGUUCCUGCGGUGGAAUCAUCACACCGUUAAAUAAAUAAAGUUAUUUUCGAAAUAAACUAUUUUUCUUUCUUAUUUUCUUGGUAGAGAACAAGAAAAUAUCUUAUUCUCCACUGAAAAUGGUAACAAGUUAAUAACAGUAAUGCUGGAGUAUCCAUUUAGCCUUUAUUCCAGC